rnacentral:misc_RNA from 1 species
AAAAAAAAAAACUAAUGUUUAGAUUCCUUGUAAUUAAAGAAAACCUUAUUCCAAAAUAUGUGUGUUUCUUUCGCAAGAAAAGAAAAAGGAGCAGGUAUGCUGGUAUGAUAUCAAACAACAGUGAGUAAUUUAUACAAGUAUCCAAACAAAUGACUGAAACAACAAGCUUUAUUGCAAUUGAAUCAACGAAUGAAUUUUUCAAGAGGAUCUGUCCGGCUAAGCGUCAGAUGGUGCAAUCCAGUGUCUCCCAUUGACAAAACUCUUUGCUAGGAAUUUAUGUGCCGUUUCAUAGUCCAGCUCCCUUGCCCAUGAUACACCCCUAACUUUUGCAGCUCCAGGCCCCCAGCAUUUGUACACCCCAAAGAACACGGUCUUGUUUUUGUUGCUGACGUGGUCCCAAUCAUCCCAGCCACCGUGUGCAACCAAGUCACUAAAGUAAGUAUAGGAGUAGACUAUCCUCGAGUACUGGCCCAUAGCCCGGCCCACAUAUAAUGGGCCAGUGCCAGUUACCCUACAGCGAAUAAAAGCAAAGCCUGUUUUCUCAUCUGGUGACUUUCUAUCUUGGGCCGCAAUGGAUCCAAAUCUGGUAGCUAUCGAGUGCAGCUCGCAGUCUUUGUACAUGGAGCGGCCAUUUCCAAAAAUGAAGUCUAUAGAGCCCUCAAUAUAACAUUCCUUGAAGUAAUGCCUCCCUGCAUCAUCGCAUAGAGUGUCUUGUGCACCGUAGAAUCCACACCCUGAAAAGUAUGCCUUGUCCCCUGAUAUGCGAAAUGCCGCCGCUUGCCACCCUUGCAUUCCUGGCAUUGGUGCUGGUGCUGUGUUCUUAAAGCUGAUAUUUCUAGCAGAGAAAUAACUGGCAAAAACAGUGACAGAAGCAGUUCUGUAAGUACGCAGCUGCUGGCCGUUGGGACCACGAUCGCUUGCCCUAUCAUGCCAUUCGAUGAACGUCACGUCUCUCCCCGCACCUUGAAAUGUUAUGUAUGGUUUCGUCACUGGCACCACCACCUUCUCUAUGUAAUAUCCAGCGCUAAUUUUAAUCAGCACAUUUUCUGUAUUGUUCUCCUUGACAGAAUCCACAGCAGCUUGUACAGACCGGAACUCGCCAGACCCAUUAACGUCAACAGUGAUCACACGCUGGCCGACGGGUCCUACCCAUUUGCGGUGGUGCUGGGUGGAGUUGUUAGAGACUGUAGCGUUGACCGAGUUGAGCCUGUACCUGUAAAUAGAGCUUGUAACUAAGAAUGGUUGAUGCGAUAAAAACAAAGUCAAUACAAAGUAGAAAUUGAAGAACAUGAAAAAAUUGAAAGAUGCCAUUAAAUUGUAAUGAAUAGUCAGAGAAUGGAAUGGUAUAGAGAAAGCAGAAUGUCUUGGGGAUUUUCUUGAAGAGCUUCAAAGGAAUGUAAAAUUAUAGAGAAACGCAGGUCAAGUACAGGAAAAA